GUGGUAAUGCCGGAUGCUCCAUCACACCGCAUGGUGUGUUGGGAAAGCCUUUGCGGCAUGGGAUGGGGUCGCGUCCUAUCAGCUUGAUGGCGGGGUAACGGCCCACCAUGGCUUCGACGGGUAGCCGGCCUGAGAGGGCGACCGGCCACAUUGGGACUGAGAUACGGCCCAGACUCCUACGGGAGGCAGCAGUGGGGAAUAUUGCACAAUGGGCGCAAGCCUGAUGCAGCGACGCCGCGUGAGGGAUGGAGGCCUUCGGGUUGUAAACCUCUUUUGUUAGGGAGCAAGGCACUUUGUGUUGAGUGUACCUUUCGAAUAAGCACCGGCUAACUACGUGCCAGCAGCCGCGGUAAUACGUAGGGUGCAAGCGUUAUCCGGAAUUAUUGGGCGUAAAGGGCUCGUAGGCGGUUCGUCGCGUCCGGUGUGAAAGUCCAUCGCUUAACGGUGGAUCCGCGCCGGGUACGGGCGGGCUUGAGUGCGGUAGGGGAGACUGGAAUUCCCGGUGUAACGGUGGAAUGUGUAGAUAUCGAAAAAAAAACCACCA
rnacentral:rRNA from 1 species